rnacentral:sRNA from 1 species
UUUUUCUGCUCUCCGCCACUCUGUUGUUGUUGCCCACCUUGCUCCUUCUUCUUCUUGGCCA